UACGGGGGGAGCAAGCGUUGUUCGGAUUUACUGGGCGUAAAGGGUGCGUAGGCGGCUUUGUAAGUCAGUGGUGAAAUAUGGCAGCUCAACUGUCAGGGUGCCAUUGAUACUGCAGAGCUUGAGUACAGAUGAGGUAGGCGGAAUUGACGGUGUAGCGGUGAAAUGCUUAGAUAUCGUCAAGAACACCGAUAGCGAAGGCAGCUUACUGGGCUGUAACUGACGCUGAGGCACGAAAGUGUGGGGAUCAAACAGG
rnacentral:rRNA from 1 species